CAUUAGCAAAGUUGACAUGGAUGCUAACAUUGCUGUGUCGGACUUCGUGGAAGUAAAACGGGUUAUCAUACGGACAGAUAUCACUUUCACCGGAAAAUGGGGAGACGGUGAUGGUGUUCUUCUCACUGAAAUAAGGGUCGCAGUGGGCCUGGAGCCUACCCAGAACCAUUGAGUGGAUGGAAGGGAUACCCUCUAGAUAUGGCCAAAAGACCCAUAUAAACACUGGGAGAAAACCCCAAGCACUAAUAUCUUCACAGUGACUGGAGCAAGGAUCAAAACCUACAACACAGGCACAGACAUUACCUGUGACCUGUGACCCCCAGAUUAAUAAACAAUAAUGUAUAUAACAGUGUGCUGGAAUAAUCAGUGUUAACCAGUGUUAUGCUGGUGUUGUUACCAUUUUAACCACAUUACCUAAGAAAGCCUCUAUUUCAAUCCCUCCGGUUCUCUGCGUGUCGGCCUCCUUGCACCUCCUUUGGAUCUCCCUCCAGCAGAUGCGGAUCUUGAAGCGUAGCCUCCGCUCUACAGCAGCUAUGUCUGAUGACAGGACCACAGAAAGCCUCCCACAUACAGUGGAGGGACGCUUGAGCUGCUCUGGGCUUAACGACUGGGAUCAGGAGUCAAGAAAUGCAUAUAAACAUCUGUUAAUGUAUGAAUUGUAAUACAUAAAAAUAAAGCUUUGUGCAGGACAAAGCAUUUAAAACA